rnacentral:lncRNA from 1 species
AAAGUUGAAUGAACAGUGAUAAAAGGGUAUAGAAUGAAUUUCACAUUUCACAGUAUCAUCAAACACGCGUCACCUCAUAUGCUUCUCACCGUACAUUAUCCAUUCAUCUUCACCAAACCUAAUUUUACCAUUGAAGGGAGAAAAACCAGAAAAUCAGAGUGAACCGGAGCCACUUGCGGAAAACGACGGUGGUACCGGGGUUUGCGGCCACCGCAGGCGGUGGUCAACAGUCGCAUUGGCUAGGGUUGCGGUUGCCGUUUGAGGCAGAAACCGAUGGUGACGACGGCUAGGGUAUCACCACAGUGAUGAAGAUGGCUUCAAGAAGCUCCAGUUGUGACUGGUCUCUGUUUAACUCUGAACUCUAGUGCACAUUCUAAUUUUGCAACUCUUGAUUCUGACGACUAUGGCCACUGUUGGAGGUAUAAGUGACCCCAAAGGAGUUCACUUCACUGUCGGCGCAUUUCCCUGCGCCCCGUUUGGUUCCGAUCCGUGCCGCCAGCGAUCAAGGAUUGUAGAUGAAAAGACUAUUUCUCUUUCCAUUCGGAUUUGGAUUAGCGGAAGAUAGGUUAAGGUGACCGGACAAUCUUGCAAGUAUUUAAAUAUAUGAGAAAUGUAUGUUGAAGGAGCUCAAGAUGCCGGCUUAGGGUUACAAAAGAUUGAUGUUGAGAGCAUGAGGUACCAUUUCUUUGUAAACAUAGUGUUAUUUGUGAGUUUUUUUUAAUGAGAAGCAUGUGCUUUGUUACCAUCAUUGCAACCAUGGUAUCCGGCCAGUGAACCUUCAUGUUAAUAGAUCUGCACAUCGGUCUCGUCAUGAUAUGCUUCCUCUAUGCGUCAAAAUCGAUUUUCUCAAUAUGAAUUCCAGCGGUCAGGCCAGCUCCUAGGUAUGUUAGCCCAAGGAUGGUUUGUACUUGUGUGUUUACUGGACGCGUGGCAGGUUUUUAACAGCCCCAUGUGGCCUCAAGGAUGUAUAUCAGGUGUUGGGUUAUUCAUAUAAACACAAGAUAAAGAAGAGAAAGUGAGAGAAUAAAAAAUAUAAAAUUAAGAGAAAGAAUCCGGCCGACUGUUUUACAGCAACGACUAACAACGCCUCUGAACGACGACGACGGCUAGGGUUACCGGGAUGUCCAGAGGAGGUGAAGGUGUUUCGCAGAGGGGGUUUGGUUCAACAUGGCAUCGACGACAACGGAGUUUAGGGUUCCGACGACCAUUUUGUUAGAACGGAGACAACAGUGCCAGUUUAAGCGACGACCAACCCUCCGACGAAGUUCAGGUACAAGCUUAUCUUUAUGGUGGAUACUUGGAAGAUAUUGGUACAAUUCAGGCCUUUUAUAAUGCAAAAUUAGGAAUUACAAAAAGCCAAUGCUUAUACUUGCUUCCUUCCAGGAUUAUCGGUGGAGGGUGUCGGAAUAAGGCAGGCGAUGGAAGGUAUACAUGUGAAGGCAAUAGCGAUACGAAAAAGCUAGGUAUCCGGAUGCAAGAAAUGGAAAUGAAGAAAACAACUUUUGUGAUCUAUGUAUAAGCGAAAUACUAUAUGAAAACCUAUGUGCUUCUCUUAAAUGUAAAACAUGUCAACAUCCUUUUGUAUCAACUUUAUUAGUGCAAGUAAAAUUUCAAACUGAGAACGAUUUGAUUUAGUGCGCCGCAACGCGCGCAGGGUCAAAACUAGUUAAAAUAAAAACACGAGGGAGAUGCCUAGGUC